UACGUAGGGGGCUAGCGUUGUCCGGAAUCAUUGGGCGUAAAGCGCGUGUAGGCGGCCCGGUAAGUCCGCUGUGAAAGUCGGGGGCUCAACCCUCGAAAGCCGGUGGAUACUGUCGGGCUCGAGUGCGGAAGAGGCGAGUGGAGUUCCUGGUGUAGCGGUGAAAUGCGCAGAUAUCAGGAGGAACACCGAUUGCGAAGGCAGCUCGCUGGGACGUUACUGACGCUGAGACGCGAAAGCGUGGGGAGCAAACAGG
rnacentral:rRNA from 1 species